rnacentral:rRNA from 1 species
UACGGGAGGCAGCAGUAGGGAAUCUUUCACAAUGGGCGAAAGCCUGAUGGAGCAACGCCGCGUGCAGGAUGACGGCCUUCGGGUUGUAAACUGCUUUUAUAAGCGAGAAAUAUGAUGGUAACUUAUGAAUAAGGACCGGCUAACUACGUGCCAGCAGCCGCGGUAAU